GACCCUGGGGGGUGGCAUAUAAUCUAAUGCAGAUACGUCAACAAGCAUCCUCUCUGUAACAUACCCAACAAAUGGUCUCCAGUCUUUAUUUGAAGACACAAGUGGAAGACAACACAUUACGGCUGUUUCCUUACCUGCAGGAUGAAGAGGUUCAAUAAAUUCCGUAGCCUCUUUCAGCCCUGAAGCCUAUGCUCCUAUGACCACAUUUGACAGAGAGGAGGAAAAGGAGGAAGACCAGAGUUACUGGAUGAAUAGAUCAAGGGAAUGCAAUGGACAUAGUUUGUGGACUUGAAUAAGUUACUUGGCAAGUCUUUUCUGAACAAGGUAAUUUCUUUUCCAUAAAGAAAGCAGUUGAAGCAAUCAUUGCUCUCAAAACCAUGUGCAUAACAGUGACCCGGCGAUAGGUGUUUGGUGAGUGAGGAAUCAGGACUUGUUUCCUGUAAGGUAAGGUGACCUUUUCAAUGACACCAGUUUGGAGCAUAAAUAGUAUCAGGUGAACAGAGCAAAAUCUAGACUGAACCCCAGGUCUCUUCAUGGAGCUUCUCAGAUUUCUGAGUUCUGUACCCAAGAGAAGCCGAAAUGAACUGUUCCAAAGCGGAGAAGCCCUCCCUGCUCUCAGU
rnacentral:lncRNA from 1 species